AACCAGCACCUCGGGAUGACUGUUGGCCAGAUGGCAUAUUUGGUUUGGAUGCCACCAAGUGUCAUUUGUUCAAUGUCGGGAAAACCAAGAGGCCAUUAUUCCACCUCGUCCGUGAGCAUGCACAAUCCCUUAAAACCAGAGCAGGAGCAGUGCAUUUCAUAUGAAUGAAAAACAUAAAAGGAGAAAUGAAUGCCUUCCAAUUCACCGGCAUUGAAAGGGUCAAGCGUGCACAUGGAGGAAUGACAAAGGAAAAAAUCCAAGCUAAAAAAGAAGUAAGGUGGAUUUUAUGGUUAGAGGCUAUGGGUAAGACAGGUCUGAAUGACAUAUCAGAGCUAAAUGUAUUGCUAUAAUUUUCUCUGUUUUUAGAUAUGUUUUUAUGAUCACUUACCUGUCUGAUGUUUGUUUACAUGUAACCAUGGACACUGAGGGCGGGGAUUAUAUAACAUGUCUUAGAACGCGAUGACGAAUUGGCCUGUUAAAGCACAAGAAGUGUGCGAAACGGCGCCGUUGCCCUGCACCCCUGCACCAAUCUUUGUCUGCACCGCACUUGAUGUAACGAGGAUCCGUUAAUAAAUUCUUCACUGAAGCAUUCAAUGGUGUGCGGCAUUGGGCAGAUUUAUCAACUUUGGUUAGCAAUGUGGGGGUAAGCUGGAGACAAAAGAACUUCAGG